GUUCAUUAACGACAUCCUCCGUCGAGCUCCCAUAAUUCCACGCUUCUCUCGCGCUACCUGCCGCGUACAAUCGGCGAGGGGAAAUAGCGAAGAAGAAAAAAGAAGAAGGAGAAAAAAGAAGAUGCACGGGCGUGAGAAGGGCAACAUUUUACGCAGUGCUAAAACAAAAGAGUCAGGAGGGAGCGAGAGAAUGGAGAGAGAUGCCUUUUUUGUGAUGAGUGAAAAGCCAUUCACAGAAGCCUCUGCUGGAGCUCCAUCAGGACCAGGGAGCAGAGUAGAAAAUGGGGAGCACCAUGAAUGCAGCCGCAUGAUUGAGGGCCUGGUGUCACAUUCAGAGUUCAAGUCUGCUCCUGUCUGAGAGACAGAAGGUAUGCGCAUCCAAGCUGCAGCCAUUGUCUGCUCAGUGAAAUAAAACAGCACUGAGUGGAUCACUUUCCCCUGCACUCCUCUGUGCUUGCUCUGAACCAAAUUCCACAAAAUGAUUCUUAUUUUUCCAUGUUGGAACCUUCUAUAAUUUACUGACACAGCACAUGCAGCAUUGCCUUCUGUUAUUUUAAAAUGUAGAAAGACACACUGGAGUUGCUGCCAUUGUCUGACUCUGAAUUUCUAGCAAUUGCACAUCACAUUAUGGCUGAGGUGACAUGAUGGCACUUUCUGGCACAAAAUUAUAUAUUGUUAGUGGG
ensembl:lncRNA